UACAGAGGGGGCAAGCGUUGUUCGGAAUUACUGGGCGUAAAGGGCGCGUAGGCGGCCGCCUAAGUCAGACGUGAAAUCCCUCGGCUCAACCGGGGAACUGCGUCUGAUACUGGGUGGCUUGAAUCCGGGAGAGGGAUGCGGAAUUCCAGGUGUAGCGGUGAAAUGCGUAGAUAUCUGGAGGAACACCGGUGGCAAAGGCGGCAUCCUGGACCGGCAUUGACGCUGAGGCGCGAAAGCCAGGGGAGCAAACGGG
rnacentral:rRNA from 1 species